GAGCGCGUAGCUCAGCCGGUAGAGCAAUUGACUUUUAAUCAAUAGGUCCUGGGUUCGAGUCCCAGCGCGCUCACCA
rnacentral:tRNA from 1 species